CGCUGAUGAGCGGUCAACUUUUAGCACUCCAAAAACUACUAGAAGGAGCUUGAACUAUGAUGAUGAUACAGACGGAGAGUAUGAUACACUUCCAAUAAAAAAAAUUCGUGGUAAUGAGGAAGAAUUAGAAAAAGUUAGAUGAAGUGAAUGAAUGCAUGAAC